GUUCUCAAAGCCAAACAAAUACUGCGUGGGGCUUAGGAGAAGCAAUUCUGAGAUCUCUCUCUCUUUCUUUGUUCUGUAUUUGUGAUUCGAAAUGGUUGAUGAUAAAGAACCUGAAGUUGCUGCUGCUGCUGUUGUGGGGGCGCCUGCGACGGAAGAGGACACCAAGCCGACUGAGAAGCCGGUGAAGGAGAAGAAACCCAGGGUUCCUAAGGAGAAGAAGCCGAAACAACCCAAAACUGCUUCUCAUCCUCCAUACUUUCAGGUAUGUCAUAUGUUUUGGUUAACUUAUUUUUACGGAGUUGUAGAGAAUCUUCGUCUAUGUCUUAAAUCCUUUUAAUUUUGUGGAUUACCCAGAUGAUCAAGGAGGCUCUGUUGGCCUUGAACGAGAAGAGCGGUGGAUCAAGUCCAUACGCCAUAGCUAAGUACAUGGAAGAGAAGCACAAGGCAGUGCUUCCUGCAAAUUUUAAGAAAAUUCUAGCUUUACAAUUGAAGAACGCGACUUCCAGAGGUAAAUUGAUGAAGAUCAAAGCCUCUUAUAAGCUCUCAGAGGCAGGCAAGAAGGAGAAAAGCACAGGAAAGAUGCCAAAGGCAAAGGGUAAAGCAGAGAAGAAAGCUAAAGAAACCAAUACAAAAGCUAUUACGACCCCCACUAGAAAGACAAGGUCUGUGAACAAAAGUGAAGCUGCAAAGAAGCCUGCAGCGAAGAGAGUGGGAACAAUGAAGGCAAAGAAAUCAACCCCUGCGAAGCCCAAACAGCCCAAGUCAAUCAAGUCCCCAACCGCCAAGAGAAUGAAGAAAACUGCAGGUGCUACUGCUUCUUAGAUGUAAAAAAUUAGGAAGUGGUGAUAUAUAUAAUAAUGUUGGUGGGCUUGCAUGUGUCAUCUGUAAGUAAGGGAUAGGUGGGGGUGUGAUUGUAUAUCUGCAAAAGUUAUGGUUAAUGGAACUCGGUUUUGGUUUGGUUUGUUUUGAUUGAUCGGUCUCUUACUCCCUGCUCAAAAAUUAAGAAUGAUCGAUGUUUGCCGCCGUCCACUGAUAACGCUAACAGCCUUGGACUCUUUGGCAUUGGGGAAUAGGGAUGGCAUUGGCUAAUGUUCUGGACAUUGGGUGGGGACGACGUUUUGUUAUGCCACGUGGACCUUAUUGCACCCAUAUGUGGCUCUUAAACCUAUGUUUACAUGUGUUUAUUUAAUGGAUUAAAAUUUGUGAAAUUAGUUAAAGAUUUUAAAUAAAAUUAAUAAUUAGUCAAGUAAUGCUGACGAAUUUAUAAAUUGUCUAGUAAAGACAUGAG
rnacentral:misc_RNA from 1 species